rnacentral:lncRNA from 1 species
UGCUGAGAGGAUAGCCGAGGAUUCUGUUUCCAGGAUUCCUGCUGCCUGUGAAGGUUCGGCUCCAAAGGUAACACGUAAAGCACGUUUCUCUCUUUCUGUUACCGAUGGUAACUGGAACAACAUGGAAAUCGUUUAAAAGUCUCGUCCCAACCCUUAGUGUUUACCUUCCUAUGGCCUGGUGUUUAUUGCUUUUGUUGCUGCAGGGUAAAGCCGAGGAGUUUGACCUGCAGAGCUCUUCUCCUCCGUCUGAAAACCUGAUCGACUUCACCGAUCCGACUCCUCCUGUCCUGUCAGUGCAGCAGCCUAAGCCUGUCAUCACACCUCGCUGGAUCAUUCCUGCAUCCGCUCCUCCGGGGAUCCUCGCUAACGGCCUGAUCGACGUAGAGCCCCAGUCUAAAAUCUCCCCUCUUCUCCUCCCUGCUGAUGGAGGAGCAUCUCUCCCCCCGACCCCUCCCCACCUCGCACAGACCCGGAAUGCCAUCCCCACCAGGUAA